UAGGGAAUCUUCGGCAAUGGACGAAAGUCUGACCGAGCAACGCCGCGUGAGUGAAGAAGGUUUUCGGAUCGUAAAACUCUGUUGUUAGAGAAGAACAAGGACGUUAGUAACUGAACGUCCCCUGACGGUAUCUAACCAGAAAGCCACGGCUAACUACGUGCCAGCAGCCGCGGUAAUACGUAGGUGGCAAGCGUUGUCCGGAUUUAUUGGGCGUAAAGCGAGCGCAGGCGGUUUCUUAAGUCUGAUGUGAAAGCCCCCGGCUCAACCGGGGAGGGUCAGUGGAAACUGAGAGACUUGAGUGCAGAAGAGGAGAGUGGAAUUCCAUGUGUAGCGGUGAAAUGCGUAGAUAUAUGGAGGAACACCAGUGGCGAAGGCGGCUCUCUGGUCUGUAACUGACGCUGAGGCUCGAAAGCGUGGGGAGCAAACAGG
rnacentral:rRNA from 1 species